rnacentral:rRNA from 1 species
AGGACGAACGCUGGCGGCGUGCUUAACACAUGCAAGUCGAACGGAAAGGCCCUUCGGGGUACUCGAGUGGCGAACGGGUGAGUAACACGUGGGUGAUCUGCCCUGCACUUUGGGAUAAGCCUGGGAAACUGGGUCUAAUACCGAAUAUACCCUGCUGGUCGCAUGGCCUGGUGGGGGAAAGCUUUUGCGGUGUGGGAUGGGCCCGCGGCCUAUCAGCUUGUUGGUGGGGUGAUGGCCUACCAAGGCGACGACGGGUAGCCGGCCUGAGAGGGUGUCCGGCCACACUGGGACUGAGAUACGGCCCAGACUCCUACGGGAGGCAGCAGUGGGGAAUAUUGCACAAUGGGCGCAAGCCUGAUGCAGCGACGCCGCGUGAGGGACGACGGCCUUCGGGUUGUAAACCUCUUUCAGUAGGGACGAAGCGCGAGUGACGGUACCUACAGAAGAAGGACCGGCCAACUACGUGCCAGCACGCCGC